AACAUUGCUGGUGUUGUUUUGUUAGAAGUCAAUAUGUAUCAAAAUUUGUAAUUCUGAAUCAUCUGUUUUCUUUCUCUAACGCUUUUGAUUCAUGCUUCUUUUGCCAAGGGAAGUUCAAAAGGACCGCGCGCUGGAGCUCCAAAGCGUGCGCCCCUUCUACUUCGUUUACUUAUGUGGCGUGAAGACAUAAAGCAAACCUUUGGAGCCAUAGUUGUCUUUUUUUGUCAUCUAAAAUAAUAAUGGUAACAUAUUAAUACAAACAAAAAAAUAUUCUAGCUCAAAAAAUUGUAUGUGAAUAAUGAAUGGAUGCUAUGGAACUAUAUUUGUUAUAGAGCUAUGUAUGUAUGGAUGCUAUGGAACUAUAUGUAUAUAUGGAUGCUAUGGAAUUUUAGAUGUAUGGAUGCUAUGGAGUUUUGAUAUAU
rnacentral:lncRNA from 1 species